UACGUACGAGGCGAGCGUUAUCCGGAAUUACUGGGCGUAAAGGGCUCGUAGGCGGCCCACUAAGUCCGACGUGAAAUCCCCAGGCUUAACUUGGGAACUGCGUCGGAUACUGGUGGGCUUGAAUCCGGGAGAGGGAUGCGGAAUUCCAGGUGUAGCGGUGAAAUGCGUAGAUAUCUGGAGGAACACCGGUGGCGAAGGCGGCAUCCUGGACCGGCAUUGACGCUGAGUGAGCGAAAGCCAGGGGAGCAAACGGG
rnacentral:rRNA from 1 species